rnacentral:rRNA from 1 species
AGUUGUAUUAACUAUUAGUUAAUACAAGAUCGACUAUGUCGACUAAAGUUCUAGGUAGAAUAAUGAUGAUGACAAUUUUUUACCUAUAUGUCUUGACCAAAGCUCGUGCCAGCAGUCGCGGUAAUACGUGAAAGACUAGUGUUAUUCAUCUUUAAUAGGUUUAAAGGGUACCUAGACGGUUUAUCUAGCCCAAAACAGGGUACGGAUUUUCUAGAGUUUUAUGUGAGGAGGGGAGUACUCAUAGAGUAGAGAUGAAAUUUUGUGAUACUAUGAGGAAACUGGUGGCGGCGAAAGCAACCUUCUAUGUAUAAACUGACGUUGAGGGACGAAGGCUUGGGUAGCAAAUAGGAUUAGAUACCCUAGUAGUCCAAGCAGACAAUUCUGAAUGCCAUAGAUUAGAUUUUUUUGGUCUAUAAAUGAAAGUGUAAGCAUUCCACCUUAGGAGUAAUGUGGCAACACAGGAACUGAAAUCAUUAGACCGUUUCUGAAACCAGUAGUGAAGUAUGUUAUUUAAUUUGAUAGUCCUCAAAAAACCUUACCACAACUUGAAUGUUAUUUAAUUAAUACAAGCGUUGCACGGCUGUCUUCAGUUAAUGUCGUGAGAUUUUGGUUAACUCCCUUAAUUAACGUAAACCCAUACUUUAUU